CGAUAGCGUAUAUUAAAGUUGUUGCGGUAAAAAAGCUCGUAGUUGGAUUUCUGUUGAGAGCGACCGGUCCAUACCAUGUAUGCGUAUCUGGCUUGCUCUCGGCAUCCUCUCGAUAGACGUUACUGCGCUUGAUUGCGUGGUGCGGAUCUCGGGACUUUUACUUUGAGGAAAUUAGAGUGUUCACGGCAGGCUUUCGCCAGAAUACAUUAGCAUGGAAUAAUACUAUAGGAUCUUGGUUCUAUUUUGUUGGUUUCUAGAAUUGAGAUAAUGAUUAAUAGGGACAAUUGGGGGCAUUCGUAUCAACACGUCAGAGGUGGAAUUCUUGGAUUGUGUUGCGACGAACUACUGCGAAAGCAUUUGCCAAGGAUGUUUUCAUUGA
rnacentral:rRNA from 1 species